GCCACUGUAGCUCAAUUGGUUAGAGCGACCAACUCAUAAUUGGCAGGUUUCGGGUUCGAGCCCCGACAGUGGCCCCA
rnacentral:tRNA from 2 species